rnacentral:rRNA from 1 species
CUGGCGGCGUGCUUAACACAUGCAAGUCGAACGAGGAUUACAUUGGAAGGGCUUCGGCCUGGAAGAUGUAAUUCGAGUGGCGGACGGGUGAGUAACGCGUGAACAAUCUGUCCCGGACAGGGGAAUAACACUUGGAAACAGGUGCUAAUACCGCAUAAGACCACGCCCUCGCAUGGGGGAGGGGUAAAAGGAGCAAUCCGGUUCGGGGUGAGUUCGCGUCCGAUUAGAUAGUUGGUGAGGUAACGGCCCACCAAGUCGACGAUCGGUAGCCGACCUGAGAGGGUGAUCGGCCACAUUGGAACUGAGAGACGGUCCAAACUCCUACGGGAGGCAGCAGUGGGGAAUAUUGGGCAAUGGGCGAAAAAGCCUGACCCAGCAACGCCGCGUGAGUGAAGAAGGCUUUCGGGUUGUAAAGCUCUGUUAUAGGGGACGAAGGAAGUGACGGUACCCUAUAAGGAAGCCCCGGCUAACUACGUGCCAGCCGCCGC